UUGCCGACUACUUCUCAAACUCCCAACCAAAUAUAUCCAAUCCGGGUGGAACCAUGGUUAAUAUUUGACUCAUCGUAUAUUGAUAAUAGUUAACCAUGGUUAAAGGGAUUGCUCGUGUAGAAUAAGGAGGAGCGGCAGCAAGACAGGAGGAAGAAAAGAAAAUCCAUUUCCCAUUUGUCUCGCCUUUCUCGUUUUCGUUUUCGUUUUCCAUCUUCGUAUUCUUUUUCACUUCACCGUUCUGGAAAACAGAGAAAGAAAAGAGGGUAUUGCUUUAUUUAUUUUUUCUUUUCUUUUUUUUCUUUCUUUCUUUCGUUUAUUUUGUCGCGUGAAAUAACUGCUUGUUUGUUUUCCAAGAAAAAAAAUCUUUUCUCCUCGAUUCAGGCUGUCGCUUUCCUGGGAAUGUUUAUAGCCUUCCAAGUUUCUUUCUCUCUUCCCUUAUCUCACCAUCUUCUUUUCAGCACAUUUCGCAUGCCCAGUACCGGUCGGUUCUCUAUCUCUAUCUCUACGUUUCCUGUUUCCUGGGUUUUUGGGUGAUUGGUUUUGUUCUUUGUACUGGGUUCUCUUUCUUGUUAUCUGGGGUUUUGUUCGUUUUUGCUAAUUCUGAGAUCUAGAUAAUGUUUUGGCGAUGGUGUUGUUGGUACAGGAUUAAUUCUGUUGGGGGUAUUUGAUAAUGGUUUGAGGAAUUCUUGAGUUCUUGGACUUGGAUUUUGAUCUGGGGUUUUGUAAUUUUGAAGCGUGUGUGUGAGAUUGAGAUUGUGUUUUGGUUUUGGAGGGUUUAGAGAUGAAGAUUGAAGAUGGGUUGCGGAGUGUUGGUGGGAAGGAUGAGGAUAAGACUGUGGUUGCUGCUGUUUUGGGAACGCGGGCUUUUAAUUACUUGAUGACUUGCUCUGUUUCGAAUGAGAAUCUGUUUAUGGCGGUGAGGAAUGAUGAGAAUUUGCAGAACAAGCUAUCGGAUCUGGUUGAGAGACCCAAUGCUUCCAAUUUCAGCUGGAACUACGCAAUUUUCUGGCAACUUUCUCAUUCUAAAUCUGGUGAAUGGGUUUUGGGAUGGGGAGAUGGAUCGUGUAGAGAUCCUAGGGAUGGAGACGAAACAGAUUCUACACAGAUUCUUAGUCUCCGGCUUGAAGAUGAGAGCCAACAGAGGAUGAAGAAAAGAGCACUGCAGAAGCUUCACACACUCUUUGGAGGCUCUGAUGAGGAUAAUUAUGCUCUUGGAUUAGACAGAGUUACUGAUACUGAGAUGUUUUUUCUUGCUUCAAUGUAUUUCUCAUUCCCUCGUGGAGAUGGGGGCCCUGGGAAGUGUUUGGCGUCCGGGAAACAUAUCUGGCUUUCGGAUGUGCUCAAUUCGCCAUCUGAGUAUUGUGUGAGAUCAUAUCUGGCAAAAUCUGCGGGAAUUCGGACGAUUGUUUUGGUGCCGACUGAUGUUGGAGUAGUUGAAUUGGGUUCUGUGAGAUCCGUGAAUGAGAGCUUAGAGUUAGUGCAGCUGAUCAGUUCACUGUUUUCAUCCCAACUUUCACUCGACAGAGUUAGGUCGUCAGCAGCGACAUUGAUGAUGGCUGAAAGAAAAGAUGAAAACACCCCAUUUUCGGGUUUGGGAAUUGCAGAAAGAGGAGAAGGAGGAGGGGGGAUUCCUAAGGUUUUUGGGCAGACUUUGAACUCGGGGAACAUGGGUCGAUCUCAUUUUAGAGAGAAACUGGCGAUUAGGAAGAUGGAUGAGAGGUCAUGGGAAGCAUGUGCCAAUGGAGGUAGAAUUCAGUUUCAAAGCCCUCGAAAUGGCAUUUGCAGUCCGAGUUUGGCACAUGUUCAUGGUCUCAAGCAGGGGAAUCCUGCAGAAAUUUAUGGCUCUCCAACUCUGCCGGUAAAUAAUAAUCACGAGCAGCUAGUCAAUGGAGUCAGAGACGAAUUUUGUCUCAACCCAUAUCAAUCACAAAAGCUGGCCCAAAUGAAAAUUGAUUUCUCUGUAGCAACUUCAAGGCCUUCUGUGAUUAACCGUGUAGGAGCAGAUUCGGAGCAUUCAGAUGUAGAGCCUCAAUGCAAAGAAGAGGGGCCUGGCACUGAUGAAAGACGACCUCGCAAACGAGGCAGAAAGCCUGCAAAUGGCAGGGAGGAACCACUAAAUCAUGUUGAGGCAGAGAGGCAGCGGCGUGAAAAGUUGAACCAGCGGUUCUAUGCUCUACGAGCUGUUGUGCCCAAUAUCUCCAAAAUGGACAAAGCUUCACUGUUGGGAGAUGCCAUUGCUUACAUUAACGAGCUUCAAGAAAAAGUGAAGGCCAUGGAAUUUGAACGUGAGAAAUCCAGCCUCACCUCAAGUGAGGCAACCCCUUCAGAGGGGAACCCAGAAAUUGAAAAUAAAGAUCAAUUCCUUGACGUCGACAUUGACGUCGAGGCUGCUCAUGAUGAAGUCAUUGUGAAGGUUAGCUGCCCAUUAGACUCACACCCUGCGUCAAGAGUUAUCAAGGCAAUGAAAGAUGCUCAGAUCAAUGUUGUUGAUUCAAAACUCUCUGAAGCAAAUGAUAAAGUUUUGCACACAUUUGUCAUCAAGUCUCCCGUAUCUGAGCAGUUGACGAAGGAGCAGUUGAUAGCCGCAUUUUCCCGGGACUCCACUUCGUUACAUCCUCUAUCGACAGUUGGGUAGCACAACAACUACAGUAACAUAGUGCAUACAUAGGUUUGUCCGUAUGUAGUGAGAAGAGCCCAACUGAAAGCUUCUUCAGAAGUUUUGAUUUACAACAGGAAGAAAAAUGCAGUAAUUCCUUUUCUUCUGCAUCAUAUAGAGUUUUUUGACUUGGGAGAAUUGAAAAGAAGAAAAGCCAUCACCUCCCUUGCCAACCAAAUCUGAUUGUUUUCCAAUCCUAGAAGGGUUUGGUGACAAAGCUAUUAACAACCAUCUAUUUGUAACAUGUGGUUAUAUGGAUUCAUAUCUAUGUAAGAUAUGAAUUUGUGUCGACCUCGACCAUGGAGACAAAGCGACAAAGACGGUGUUAGGACCGUUUUACCAAAGAUGACAUGUAGCUUGGAAUCGGUCUACUUUGAUUAAUUUCUUCGAAGUCGAUUUUUUUGUUUUUUUUAUUUUUUUGGUCCUUUUUGUAUCCUUCUCCUUCCUGGUUAGGUCAUGUAAUGUCAAAUCUGCAAUGAGAUGCAAAGAUGUAGCUUUGGAAGCUUUCUCCUGCAGAAGAGAAUGGAGGAAGAUACUGUUGCUGCCAAUGGGAGUGUUUGAUGUAAAUUGUACUUCAACACCUUUUGAAAAGCAAAGAUAAAGCAAUGAAUUUAAUUUAGGUUUGAAUA